UACGGAGGGUGCGAGCGUUGUCCGGAAUCACUGGGCGUAAAGGGCGCGUAGGCGGCCUGAUAAGUAGGGGGUGAAAUCCUGCGGCUUAACCGCAGGGCUGCCUUCUAAACUGUCGAGCUAGAGUCCGGAAGAGGCGAGUGGAAUUCCUGGUGUAGCGGUGAAAUGCGCAGAUAUCAGGAGGAACACCAAUGGCGAAGGCAGCUCGCUGGGACGGUACUGACGCUGAGACGCGAAAGCGUGGGGAGCAAACAGG
rnacentral:rRNA from 1 species